rnacentral:rRNA from 1 species
AUUGAACGCUGGCGGCAUGCCUUACACAUGCAAGUCGAACGGUAACAGGUCUUCGGAUGCAGACGAGUGGCGAACGGGUGAGUAAUACAUCGGAACGUGCCCGAUCGUGGGGGAUAACGGAGCGAAAGCUUUGCUAAUACCGCAUACGAUCUACGGAUGAAAGCAGGGGACCGCAAGGCCUUGCGCGGACGGAGCGGCCGAUGGCAGAUUAGGUAGUUGGUGGGAUAAAAGCUUACCAAGCCGACGACCUGUAGCUGGUCUGAGAGGACGACCAGCCACACUGGGACUGAGACACGGCCCAGACUCCUACGGGAGGCAGCAGUGGGGAAUUUUGGACAAUGGGCGCAAGCCUGAUCCAGCCAUGCCGCGUGCAGGAUGAAGGCCUUCGGGUUGUAAACUGCUUUUGUACGGAACGAAAAGACUCUUUCUAAUAAAGAGGGUCCAUGACGGUACCGUAAGAAUAAGCACCGGCUAACUACGUGCCAGCCGCCGCAGUAACAC